rnacentral:rRNA from 1 species
CCUACGGGGUGCUGCAGUGGGGAAUAUUGCACAAUGGGGGAAACCCUGAUGCAGCAACGCCGCGUGAAGGAAGACGGUUUUCGGAUUGUAAACUUCUGUUCUUAGUGAAGAAUAAUGACGGUAGCUAAGGAGCAAGCCACGGCUAACUACGUGCCAGCAGCCGCGGUAAUACGUAGGUGGCAAGCGUUGUCCGGAAUUACUGGGUGUAAAGGGAGCGCAGGUGGCAUAAUAAGUAGCUAGUGAAAUCUGGUGGCUCAACCAUUCAGACUAUUAGCUAAACUGUUAAGCUCGAGACCGUUAGGGGUAACUGGAAUUUCUAGUGUAGGAGUGAAAUCCGUAGAUAUUAGAAGGAACACCAAUAGCGUAGGCAGGUUACUGGGACGGUUCUGACACUAAGGCACGAAAGCGUAGGGAGCAAACGGGAUUAGAUACCCUGGUAGUC